rnacentral:rRNA from 1 species
GACGAACGCUGGCGGCGUGCUUAACACAUGCAAGUCGAACGAAGUGGCGAACGGGUGAGUAAUACGUGGGUACCCUGCCCUCCUUUAUGGGAUAAGCCUUGGAAACGGGUUCUAAUACCGAAUAAAGGGGGAUGGGCUCGCGGCCUAUCAGCUUGUUGGGGGGGUGAUGGCCUACCAAGGCGGUGACGGGUAGCCGGCCUGAGAGGGUGACCGGCCACAUGGGGACUGAGAUACGCCCCAGAGUCCUACGGGAGGCAGCAGUGGGGGAUAUGGCACAAGGGGCGAAAGCCUGAGGCAGGGACGCCGCGUGGGGGAUGAAGGCGUUCGGGUUGUAAACCGCUUUCGAUAUCGAACGGGUAGGUAGAGAAGAAGCGCCGGCUAACUACGUGCCAGCAGCCGCGGUAAUAC